CAGCUCCUGUAUGAUCAAUGAAGUUAAGCAAUGUUGAGCCUGGUUAGUACCUAGAUGGGUGACCACUUGGGAAUACCAGCUGC